GUGAUCGGUGAUGAUUUGGAUUUGUUUGCCUGACUUCCUUUGUGGAUAAUGAAGGCAACUCAGUCACUACCUCUUCUGAGACAC
rnacentral:snoRNA from 2 species